rnacentral:rRNA from 1 species
UACAUGGGGUGCAAACGUUGCUCGGAAUCACUGGGCUUAAAGCGCGCGCAGGCGGCCUUUUAAGUCUGAUGUGAAAGCCCACGGCUCAACCGUGGAAGGUCAUUGGAAACUGAAAGGCUUGAGUACAGAAGAGGAAAGCGGAAUUCCACGUGUAGCGGUGAAAUGCGUAGAGAUGUGGAGGAACACCAGUGGCGAAGGCGGCUUUCUGGUCUGUAACUGACGCUGAGGCGCGAAAGCGUGGGGAGCAAACAGG